rnacentral:rRNA from 1 species
AUGGAUGGCACAUUCCCUCAGGCUCUCUCCCUGUCCAGUGCAGUCCCAUCACGGCGGCCCACGGCAUUGCCGCCAACUAGCACCGUCGUGCUUUCUCCUCUCGGCCUCCAUCCUUCCCCCACGGAGUGCAUCCUCAAGACUGUGUUCUGGAACGUCCGUGGCCAUCACUCUAGGGCUAAGCACACCGCGGUCCACUCUGUAAUUUCCUCGAUUUCUCCGAACAUUGUGUGUCUUCAAGAAACGAAGCUCGAUUCGUUCUCGUUGCCCCUUGUCGUGGAGACGCUCGGCUCAUGCUUCUUGGAUUACUUCUUCCUCCUGGCCUCCGGCACCCGGGGCGGCAUCCUUCUUGCUUGGAACCGUAACGAGAUUGCUAUCUCU